rnacentral:rRNA from 1 species
CAGCACCUCAAGUGGUCAGGAUGAUUAUUGGGCCUAAAGCAUCCGUAGCCGGCGCUGUAAGUUUUCGGUUAAAUCUGUACGCUCAACGUACAGGCUGCCGGGAAUACUGCAGCGCUAGGGAGUGGGAGAGGUAGACGGUACUCGGUAGGAAGGGGUAAAAUCCUUUGAUCUAUUGAUGUCCACCUGUGGCGAAGGCGGUCUACCAGAACACGUCCGACGGUGAGGGAUGAAAGCUGGGGGAGCAAACCGGAUUAGAUACCCGAGUAGUCC